rnacentral:piRNA from 1 species
UGUCACAAAAUGACAAAUGGAUUCUUAU